rnacentral:rRNA from 1 species
AUUGAACGCUGGCGGCAGGCCUAACACAUGCAAGUCGAACGAGCGGCGGACGGGUGAUUAAUGUCUGGGAAACUGCCUGAUGGAGGGGGAUAACUACUGGAAACGGUAGCUAAUCCCGCAUACCAUCAGAUGUGCCCCGAUGGGAUUAGCUAGUAGGUGGGGUAACGGCUCACCUAGGCGACGAUCCCUAGCUGGUCUGAGAGGAUGACCAGCCACACUGGAACUGAGACACGGGCCAGACUCCUACGGGAGGCAGCAGUGGGGAAUAUUGCACAAUGGGCGCAAGCCUGAUGCAGCCAUGCCGCGUGUGUGAAGAAGGCCUUCGGGUUGUAAAGCACUUUCAGCGGGGAGGCGUUACCCGCAGAAGAAGCACCGGCUAACUACGUGCCAGCAGCCGCGGUAAUUC